GUGGGGAAUUUUGGACAAUGGGCGCAAGCCUGAUCCAGCAAUGCCGCGUGCAGGAAGAAGGCCUUCGGGUUGUAAACUGCUUUUGUACGGAACGAAACGGUCCGGGUUAAUACCCUGGGCUAAUGACGGUACCGUAAGAAUAAGCACAGGCUAACUACGUGCCAGCAGCCGCGGUAAUACGUAGGGUGCGAGCGUUAAUCGGAAUUACUGGGCGUAAAGCGUGCGCAGGCGGUGCUGUAAGACAGGCGUGAAAUCCCCGGGCUCAACCUGGGAAUUGCGCUUGUGACUGCAGUGCUGGAGUACGGCAGAGGGGGAUGGAAUUCCGCGUGUAGCAGUGAAAUGCGUAGAUAUGCGGAGGAACACCGAUGGCGAAGGCAGUCCCCUGGGCCUGUACUGACGCUCAUGCACGAAAGCGUGGGGAGCAAACAGGAUUAGAUACCCCAGUAGUCC
rnacentral:rRNA from 1 species